CUAGAUUUAACCAAGGAGGUUAUAUUAGAAGGAGAGUGAACACUGCUUGAUACAAAAUUAGCAUCCCUAGGAUAGUAGUUCGAUCAGAGAAAAAUGAUAGAAAUAUAAAGAAACCGACAUGUUUAUCACCCACUUGACAUGGCCCUCUGAUGUACCGGGCUGUUACCGCGAGCAGUUCGGGCUAUUAGAUAAAUCGCAUAUGUCACGUGAUUUUUAUCAGUGACUGGGUCAUUAAAGUUCAGGUGCAUUUUGUAACAAUGCAGUGUAUAGGUGUUUAUGAUAUGGAAAAAGAUUGGACGCGCAACUUCAAAAUCAAUCGUCUAUCUACCGUGAAAAAAGGUAAAGAAAUGACAAAGUUAUGAGGGUUUAA
rnacentral:lncRNA from 1 species